GUUGAUACACACAUUUUGUGUCUUGCCUUCGAGGGUUUUUUGCAGAGACGUCAAAACUUGUGGCAGCGAUGAUUCAUAGGUUUGCGAAUUUUUCGUAGUUUUCGUUAUUUGGAAAAACCAAUUUAUUACCACACAAUUCGAAUUAGCUUAAAAACUUGCAAUGUUUUAUAUGCACGUAACGGGAAAUCACUGAAGUUACACUUUGCCAUGACAAUUACGUAGAAGCAAGAUACAAAUAAUUAAAGACUAAAA